rnacentral:rRNA from 1 species
GACGAACGCUGGCGGCGCGCCUAACACAUGCAAGUCGAACGAGAGAGAGGAAGCUUGCUUCCUCAAUCGAGUGGCGAACGGGUGAGUAACGCGUGAGGAACCUGCCUCAAAGAGGGGGACAACAGUUGGAAACGACUGCUAAUACCGCAUAAGCCCACGGGUCGGCAUCGACCAGAGGGAAAAGGAGCAAUCCGCUUUGAGAUGGCCUCGCGUCCGAUUAGCUAGUUGGUGAGGUAACGGCCCACCAAGGCGACGAUCGGUAGCCGGACUGAGAGGUUGAACGGCCACAUUGGGACUGAGACACGGCCCAGACUCCUACGGGAGGCAGCAGUGGGGAAUAUUGCACAAUGGGGGAAACCCUGAUGCAGCGACGCCGCGUGGAGGAAGAAGGUCUUCGGAUUGUAAACUCCUGUUGUUGAGGAAGAUAAUGACGGUACUCAACAAGGAAGUGACGG